UACGGAGGGUGCAAGCGUUAAUCGGAAUUACUGGGCGUAAAGCGCGCGUAGGUGGAUAGGUCAGUCAGAUGUGAAAGCCCAGGGCUCAACCUUGGAACUGCAUCUGAUACUGCUUAUCUAGAGUACGGUAGAGGGUAGUGGAAUUUCCUGUGUAGCGGUGAAAUGCGUAGAUAUAGGAAGGAACACCAGUGGCGAAGGCGACUACCUGGACCGAUACUGACACUGAGGUGCGAAAGCGUGGGGAGCAAACAGG
rnacentral:rRNA from 1 species